UUAAGCGUUGCUACCAUGACGUACUUUUUCUACCAUGUUUCUGGUCAACUCAAGCGUAUUGUACCGACGUUUUUCAGCUUACAAUUUUUUCGCUCAAAAUUUACCACAAAAAUGGUAAUUUUCUGUGCUAUUUGUCGAGGAUUGACGUUUGCCCAUUUUGUACACAAAUAAGUGCAGUCGAAUUCGUUUGCGCGCACUGUUUUCAAUUAUAUUGAUUAAUUCAAACACAACCUAAUGAAUAUUUCUUAAAAAGUGGGAAGCAAAAGGUGAAAUAGUGGACGCAGACGUAAAGGUGAGUAAAUAUAUAUUCUCUUAUGAGGAAAUUACUCUGAAAACUGUUUUCAUUUCGCUCGCAGUUGAGGAUCGUGGAAUGAAUUUCAUCAUAGACUUUUCUGGUUUCUAUUCGCAACCAAGAACCCUUAAACAGAAGAUUGUUUUAAAUAUAUACUUCUUUUUAAUCGUCUAAAAUGGAUAAGAGGCGCCAUACAGAGGCAUCCGGCGAUACGAUCAAGCUUCGACGGGGAAUAGCCAGAAUUUGAAGGUUACGUUUCUAUGAGUGAUUAGUAAUUUAUUACAACGUCUGAAAGCUGACAUAAAUACUCGCGAAAAAUUAAGUAAAUAAACUAUGCAUGACAAAUGUA